rnacentral:rRNA from 1 species
ACUGCGAAUGGCUCAUUAAAUCAGUUAUCGUUUAUUUGAUAGUACCUUACUACUUGGAUAACCGUGGUAAUUCUAGAGCUAAUACAUGCUAAAAACCCCGACUCACGAAGGGGUGUAUUUAUUAGAUUAAAAACCAAUGCCCUUCGGGGCUCUUUGGUGAUUCAUAAUAACUUUUCGAAUCGCAUGGCCUUGCGCCGGCGAUGGUUCAUUCAAAUUUCUGCCCUAUCAACUUUCGAUGGCAGGGUCUUGGCCUGCCAUGGUUACAACGGGUAACGGAGGGUUAGGGCUCGACCCCGGAGAAGGAGCCUGAGAAACGGCUACUACAUCCAAGGAAGGCAGCAGGCGCGCAAAUUACCCAAUCCCGAUUCGGGGAGGUAGUGACAAUAAAUACUGAUACAGGGCUCUUUUGGGUCUUGUAAUUGGAAUGAGUACAAUUUAAAUCCCUUAACGAGGAACAAUUGGAGGGCAAGUCUGGUGCCAGCAGCCGCGGUAAUUCCAGCUCCAAUAGCGUAUAUUAAAGUUGUUGCAGUUAAAAAGCUCGUAGUUGAACCUUGGGCCUGGCUGGCCGGUCCGCCUCACCGCGUGCACUGGUUCGGCCGGGCCUUUCCCUCUGGGGAACCUCAUGGUCUUCACUGAUCGUGAUGGGGAACCAGGACUUUUACUGUGAAAAAAUUAGAGUGUUCAAAGCAGGCCUAUGCUCGAAUACAUUAGCAUGGAAUAAUAAAAUAGGACGUGUGGUUCUAUUUUGUUGGUUUCUAGGACCGCCGUAAUGAUUAAUAGGGACAGUCGGGGGCAUCAGUAUUCAAUUGUCAGAGGUGAAAUUCUUGGAUUUAUUGAAGACUAACUACUGCGAAAGCAUUUGCCAAGGAUGUUUUCAUUAAUCAGGAACGAAAGUUAGGGGAUCGAAGACGAUCAGAUACCGUCGUAGUCUUAACCAUAAACUAUGCCGACUAGGGAUCGGACGGUGUUACUUAUUGACCCGUUCGGCACCUUACGAGAAAUC